rnacentral:rRNA from 1 species
UACAGAGGGUGCGAGCGUUAAUCGGAAUUACUGGGCGUAAAGCGCGCGUAGGCGGCUUUGCAAGUCGGGUGUGAAAUCCCCAGGCUUAACCUGGGAACUGCAUUCGAGACUGCAUUGCUAGAGUAUGGGAGAGGGAAGUGGAAUUUCCAGUGUAGCGGUGAAAUGCGUAGAUAUCGGAAGGAACAUCAGUGGCGAAAGCGACUUCCUGGACCAACACUGACGCUCAUGUGCGAAAGCGUGGGGAGCAAACAGG